rnacentral:tRNA from 1 species
AAUAGUGUGCUUGACAAAAAGGUCGCCUUGAUAGGGCGAAUAAUGAAAGUUACCCUUUCCACUAUUA